rnacentral:rRNA from 1 species
UGCCAGCCGCCGCGGUAAUACGGAGGGUGCGAGCGUUAAUCGGAAUUACUGGGCGUAAAGCGCGCGUAGGCGGUAUAGUAAGUCAGAUGUGAAAGCCCCGGGCUUAACCUGGGAAUGGCAUUUGAUACUGCUAAACUAGAGUGUGAUAGAGGAUAGUAGAAUUCCCGGUGUAGCGGUGAAAUGCGUAGAGAUCGGGAGGAAUACCAAUGGCGAAGGCAACUGUCUGGGUCAACACUGACGCUGAGGCGCGAAAGCGUGGGGAGCAAACAGGAUUAGAUA